rnacentral:pre_miRNA from 1 species
AUUCUACUCCCUCCGUUCGGAAUUAUUUGUCGCAGAAAUGGAUGUAUCUAGACGUAUUUUAGUUCUAUAUACAUUUAUUUCUAAGACAAGUAAUUCCAAAUGGAGGGAGCACGUA